CUUUCAGGGCUGAGCAAUAUAUAAUAUUUUUCUUCCUUUAUAACUGCAGAUUUAACUUUAGGAAUAUGAGAUAGCAUAUUAAUUAUUGUGAAACAUGGCGUGCCCGGUACCUGGGUUACCCCAGCAUCAAGCAAGCACAAUUAAAAAUUGCUAGCUAGCUAGAAUAUGUAAUCCCUCGCGGGUAAUAUAUUGAUGGAAUUAAACUUAGUUACGGCUAGCAAUUUCCUCGGUUUAGCGGUUUCUUCAAGUACGCGGAUUGCCUACCAAUUAAAUGUAGCCAUUAUUCAUUAUGUUCUUUUGGGUGUUGUAUUUUUAAGUUAUGGGUUAAAAAUUUUUAUUUAGGACCGAUAAUAAAUUUGUAAAUUUCUCAUUCCAUGUUAAGCGACAGAAUUAUUUUCUCUGCCCAGGUUAAAAUUAAUUAUAGUCAGUCAUAAUUAACUUCGGCGUCUCUUAAAGUGACGCUAUCCUUAAGUAAUCUAACUCAAGCGUGUCAGCUUUGCGUGUCAGUUUUGCUUUUUGUUUUUUGAAGCCUUAUUUUUAAUCUCGAUCGAGUUUGAUUUUUUUUACCUAAUAUAUCAUGCUGUUUCUAUGAAUAUGCCUGUCACAUUCAUGUAAAAUAAUAAUCAUCAACCUCUGCAAAUCGUUGCAAUAGAGCUAAAUUGCUUCACCAAUGCAAAAAUAAAAUGGUUGGGUAAUCGUUUAAGCCUGUAUCCUGUAUGCUUAAGAAUCAUUUCUUGAUGAUUAGUCAUCUCCAGUUGCCCAUCAAAGAUAAACAUGUAUAUAUUAGAUGUGAUUUUUUAACACCUGCCCUCUAGGGGGUAUGGUGUUUAUGCUGCGAGGUAGGGUAGGUCUGUACUUAAUAAGGUGAAGACAGCGUGUAGCAAAUAAUGGAAAAGUAGGUAUGUCUCAAGGGAGUGAAGGUCUGUAGUGAUGGAGUGAAGGUCUGUAGUGAUGGAGUGAAGGUCUGUAGUGAAGGUUUGUAGUGAAGGUCUGUAGUGAAGGUCUGUAGUGAUGGAGUGAAGGUCUGUAGUGAUGGAGUGAAGGUCGGUAGUGAUGGAGUGAAGGUCUGUAGUGCCUAGGGGGGAUCUGAAGUGCUGGAGUAUAGAUCUGUAGUGCCUAGGGUAGAUCUGUAGUGCUGCAGUAUAGAUCUGUAGUGUCUACGGUAGGUCUGUAGUGCUUAAGUAUAGAUCUGUAGUGUCUAGGGUAGAUCUGUAGUGUCUAGGGUAGGUCUGUAGUGCUGGAGUAUAGGUCUGUAGUGUCUAGGGUAGAUCUGUAGUGAUGGAGUAUAGAUCUUUAGUGUCUAGGGUAGGUCUGUAGUGUCUAGGGUAGAUCUGUAGUGUCUAGGGUAGGUCUGUAGUGCUGGAGUAUAGGUCUGUAGUGCCUAGGGUAGAUCUGUAGUGCUGGAGUAUAGGUCUGUAGUGUCUAGGGUAGAUCUGUAGUGAUGGAGUAUAGAUCUGUAGUGUCUAGGGUAGGUCUGUAGUGCUGGAGUAUAGGUCUGUAGUGUCUAGGGUAGAUCUGUAGUGUCUAGGGUAGGUCUGUAGUGCUGGAGUAUAGGUCUGUAGUGCCUAGGGUAGAUCUGUAGUGCUGGAGUAUAGGUCUGUAGUGUCUAGGGUAGAUCUGUAGUGAUGGAGUAUAGAUCUGUAGUGUCUAGGGUAGAUCUGUAGUGCUGGAGUAUAGAUCUGUAGUGUCUAGGGUAGGUCUGUAGUGCUGGAGUAUAGGUCUGUAGUGCCUAGGGUAGAUCUGUAGUGCUGGAGUAUAGGUCUGUAGUGUCUAGGGUAGAUCUGUAGUGAUGGAGUAUAGAUCUGUAGUGUCUAGGGUAGGUCUGUAGUGCUGGAGUAUAGAUCUGUAGUGUCUAGGGUAGGUCUGUAGUGAUGGAGUAUAGAUCU